rnacentral:misc_RNA from 1 species
UCUGGAUUUAUUCCAGCAGUCCCACUAGAGUGCCAAACUUAAUUGGGGCAACUAGUGGCAAGGGUUGCGCUCGUUGCGUCACUUAAGACAACAUCUCACGACACGAGCUGACGACAGCCAUGCAGCACCUGUGUUCAGGUUCCCGAAGGCACUUCCCAAUCUCUUGGGCUUUCCUGACAUGUCAAGAGCAGGUAAGGUUUUUCGCGUUGCAUCGAAUUAAUCCACAUCAUCCACCGCUUGUGCGGGUCCCCGUCAAUUCCUUUGAGUUUUAAUCUUGCGACCGUACUCCCCAGGCGGUCUACUUCUCGCGUUAGCUUCGCUACUAAAUCCAUUCGGACCCAACAGCAAGUAGACAUCGUUUAGGGCGUGGACUAC